rnacentral:rRNA from 1 species
UACGGAGGAUCCAAGCGUUAUCCGGAAUCAUUGGGUUUAAAGGGUCCGUAGGUGGAUAAUUAAGUCAGAGGUGAAAUCUUGCAGCUCAACUGUAAAAUUGCCUUUGAUACUGGUUAUCUUGAGUACAAAUGAAGUAGGCGGAAUGAGUCAUGUAGCGGUGAAAUGCAUAGAUAUUACACAGAAUACCGAUUGCGAAGGCAGUCUACUACGAAUGUACUGACGCUGAUGGACGAAAGCGUGGGUAGCGAACAGG